GUUGUGGUACCACCUGAAUCCAUGCCGAACUCAGAAGUGAAACGCAACUGCGCCGAUGGUAGUGUGGGAGGUCCCAUGUGAGAGUAGGUCAUCGCUAAGC
rnacentral:rRNA from 1 species